GACGAACGCUGGCGGCGUGCUUAACACAUGCAAGUCGAACGGAAAGGCCCUGCUUUUGUGGGGUGCUCGAGUGGCGAACGGGUGAGUAACACGUGAGUAACCUGCCCUUGACUUUGGGAUAACUUCAGGAAACUGGGGCUAAUACCGGAUAGGAGCUCCUGCUGCAUGGUGGGGGUUGGAAAGUUUCGGCGGUUGGGGAUGGACUCGCGGCUUAUCAGCUUGUUGGUGGGGUAGUGGCUUACCAAGGCUUUGACGGGUAGCCGGCCUGAGAGGGUGACCAGCCACAUUGGGACUGAGAUACGGCCCAGACGGCUACGGGAGGCAGCAGUGGGGAAUAUUGCACAAUGGGCGGAAGCCAGAUACAGCAACGCCGCGUGCGGAAUGACGGCCUUCGGGUUGUGAACCGCUUUCGCCUGUGACGAAGCGUGAGUGACGGUAAUGGGUAAAGAAGCACCGGCUAACUACGUG
rnacentral:rRNA from 1 species